ACAGAACGGUUCAUCUACAAGAUCCGACAGUAUCUGAUGUUGAGCUAACCGUUCUGAGA
rnacentral:pre_miRNA from 1 species